UACGUAGGGUGCGAGCGUUGUCCGGAAUUAUUGGGCGUAAAGAGCUUGUAGGUGGCUCGUUGCGUCGGGAGUGAAAACCUGCGGCUUAACCGCAGGCCUGCUUCCGAUACGGGCGAGCUAGAGUUCGGCAGGGGAGACUGGAAUUCCUGGUGUAGCGGUGGAAUGCGCAGAUAUCAGGGGGAACACCGGUGGCGAAGGCGGGUCUCUGGGCCGAUACUGACGCUGAGGAGCGAAAGCGUGGGGAGCGAACAGG
rnacentral:rRNA from 1 species